rnacentral:rRNA from 1 species
AACGAACGCUGGCGGCAUGCCUAACACAUGCAAGUCGAACGAACCCUUCGGGGUUAGUGGCGCACGGGUGCGUAACGCGUGGGGAUCUGCCCUUUGCUUCGGAAUAACAGUUAGAAAUGACUGCUAAUACCGGAUGAUGUCGCAAGACCAAAGAUUUAUCGGCAAAGGAUGAACCCGCGUAGGAUUAGCUAGUUGGUGGGGUAAAGGCCUACCAAGGCGACGAUCCUUAGCUGGUCUGAGAGGAUGAUCAGCCACACUGGGACUGAGACACGGCCCAGACUCCUACGGGAGGCAGCAGUGGGGAAUAUUGGACAAUGGGCGAAAGCCUGAUCCAGCAAUGCCGCGUGAGUGAUGAAGGCCUUCGGGUUGUAAAGCUCUUUUACCAGGGAUGAUAAUGACAGUACCUGGAGAGUAAGCUCCGGCUAACUCCGUGCCAGCCGCCGCGGUAA